UGAGGAAUAUUGGUCAAUGGGCGAGAGCCUGAACCAGCCAAGUAGCGUGCAGGACGACGGCCCUAUGGGUUGUAAACUGCUUUUAUGUGGGGAUAAAGUGCGUGACGUGUCAUGCAUUGCAGGUACCACAUGAAUAAGGACCGGCUAAUUCCGUGCCAGCAGCCGCGGUAAUACGGAAGGUCCGGGCGUUAUCCGGAUUUAUUGGGUUUAAAGGGAGCGUAGGCUGUCUAUUAAGCGUGUUGUGAAAUAUACCGGCUCAACCGGUGGCUUGCAGCGCGAACUGGUCGACUUGAGUAUGCAGGAAGUAGGCGGAAUUCAUGGUGUAGCGGUGAAAUGCUUAGAUAUCAUGAAGAACUCCGAUUGCGAAGGCAGCUUACGGGAGCGCAACUGACGCUGAAGCUCGAAGGUGCGGGUAUCGAACAGG
rnacentral:rRNA from 1 species